AGAACGGCCUGGAGGUGGGCCAGGGCGCAAUGGAGACAGGGGGCUCCCUGGGUUUGGAACAAAGAAUUCACAGGCAGGUCCCCUGAAACUGGGUCGGCAGGACGGUGGUGGAGCCCGAGAGAGGGCACAGGCAGGAUGGCCGAUGCUGACAGGAACCAGCGGUGACUCUGGGGCCCCUGGCAGCAGCUCUGUCUCCUGAAGAUGAAGUGGCCCAGGUGAAGCCCAGGCCAGCCCCAAUGGCCAGCUCGGAGACUGAGAUCCGCUGGGCUGAGCCUGGCCUGGGGAAGGGCCCCCAGCGGCGGCGCUGGGCCUGGGCCGAGGACAAGAGGGAUGUGGAUAGAAGUAGUUCACAAAGCUGGGAAGAAGAGAGACUCUUUCCCAAUGCCACCAGCCCCGAGCUCCUAGAGGACUUCCGCCUGGCCCAGCAGCACCUGCCGCCCCUGGAGUGGGACCCACACCCGCAGCCCGAUGGGCAUCAGGAUUCCGAGUCAGGAGAGACUUCGGGAGAAGAGGCUGAAGCAGAGGAUGUGGACAGCCCAGCAAGUUCCCAUGAGCCUCUUGCCUGGCUCCCCCAGCAGGGCCGUCAGCUGGACAUGACUGAAGAGGAGCCAGAUGGGACCCUCGGAAGUCUGGAGGUUGAGGAGGCUGGAGAGAGCUCCUCAAGGUUGGGGUAUGAGGCUGGUCUCAGCUUGGAAGGCCAUGGAAACACCAGCCCCAUGGCUCUUGGGCAUGGUCAGGCCAGGGGCUGGGUGGCUUCUGGCGAACAAGCCAGUGGGGACAAACUUUCUGAACAUUCCGAGGUCAACCCAUCCGUUGAACUCAGCCCGGCAAGGUCCUGGAGCAGUGGGACAGUGAGCCUCGACCACCCUAGUGACAGCCUUGAUUCUACCUGGGAAGGAGAGACCGAUGGCCCCCAGCCCACUGCCCUGGCAGAAACCUUGCCAGAGGGCCCCAGCCACCACCUCCUAAGCCCAGAUGGCAGAACUGGAGGCAGUGUUGCUCGGGCAACCCCCAUGGAAUUCCAGGACUCCUCAGCUCCCCCAGCCCAGAGUCCGCAGCAUGCCACAGAUAGAUGGAGGAGAGAAACGACCAGAUUCUUCUGCCCUCAGCCCAAGGAACACAUCUGGAAGCAGACAAAGACGUCACCUAAGCCACUCCCUUCCCGAUUCAUUGGCUCCAUCAGCCCCCUGAAUCCCCAGCCCAGGCCAACGCGGCAGGGCAGGCCGCUGCCCAGACAGGGAGCCACUCUGGCUGGCCGCUCCUCUUCUAAUGCCCCCAAGUAUGGCCGGGGGCAGUUGAACUACCCACUCCCUGAUUUCUCCAAGGUAGGGCCCCGGGUGAGAUUCCCCAAAGAUGAGAGCUACCGUCCCCCCAAGUCCAGAAGCCACAACAGGAAGCCUCAGGCCCCUGCCAGGCCCCUCAUCUUCAAGUCUCCAGCUGAGAUUGUGCAGGAGGUGCUGUUGAGCAGUGGAGAAGCAGCCCUGGCAAAGGACACGCCUCCUGCCCACCCUAUCACCAGGGUACCCCAAGAAUUUCAGACGCCUGAGCAAGCCACUGAGCUGGUCCAUCAGCUCCAGGAAGACUACCACAGGCUCCUCACCAAGUACGCUGAGGCCGAGAACACCAUUGACCAGCUACGCCUCGGGGCCAAGGUGAACCUGUUCUCUGACCCACCCCAGCCCAACCACAGCAUCCACACGGGAAUGGUGCCCCAGGGGACCAAGGUCUUGUCCUUCACCAUCCCACAGCCCCGCUCUGCAGAGUGGUGGCCGGGCCCGGCCGAGGACCCCCAGGCCUCUGCGGCCUCAGGGUGGCCAUCAGCUCGAGGAGACUUGAGCCCCUCCUCGCUUACCAGCAUGCCCACCCUGGGGUGGCUUCCGGAGAACCGGGACAUCUCUGAGGACCAGUCCUCAGCAGAGCAGACCCAGGCACUGGCUUCUCAGGCCAGCCAGUUCCUGGCCAAGGUGGAGUCCUUUGAAAGACUGAUACAGGCAGGACGUCUCAUGCCCCAGGACCAAGUCAAGGGCUUCCAGCGGCUGAAGGCUGCCCACGCGGCCCUAGAGGAGGAGUACCUGAAGGCUUGUCGGGAGCAACACCCUGCCCAGCCGCUUGCCGGCUCCAAGGGGACGCCUGGAAGAUUUGAUCCUCGCAGGGAGCUGGAGGCAGAGAUAUACCGUCUGGGAAGCUGCCUGGAAGAGCUGAAGGAACACAUAGACCAGACCCAGCAAGAGCCUGAGCCGCCCGGGUCAGACUCAGCUCUGGACAGCACCCCAGCCCUGCCCUGCCUCCAUCAGCCAACGCACCUGCCUGCUCCUUCUGGACAAGCCCCCAUGCCAGCCAUCAAGACCUCCUGCCCUGAGCCUGCUACCACCACUGCCGCCGCCAGCACUGGCCCCUGCCCAUUGCACGUAAAUGUGGAGGUGAGCUCUGGCAACAGUGAGGUGGAGGACAGGCCACAGGACCCCCUGGCCCGACUCAGGCACAAGGAGCUGCAGAUGGAGCAAGUUUACCAUGGCCUCAUGGAGCGGUACCUCAGUGUGAAGUCUCUCCCAGAAGCCAUGAGAAUGGAGGAGGAGGAAGAAGGAGAGGAGGAGGAGGAGGAAGAGGGGGGAGGUGACUCCCUGGAAGUUGAUGGGGUGGCUGCAACUCCAGGGAAAGCAGAGGCCACCAGGGUCCUCCCAAGGCAGUGCCCGGUGCAGGCUGAGAAAAGUCAUGGGGCUCCCCUGGAGGAGGCCACGGAGAAGAUGGUAUCUAUGAAGCCACCAGGUUUCCAGGCAUCCCUGGCUAGAGACGGGCACAUGUCAGGCCUGGGCAAGGCUGAGGCAGCCCCUCCAGGCCCUGGCGUGCCACCCCACCCUCCAGGCACCAAGUCCGCAGCAUCCCACCAAAGUAGUAUGACCAGCCUGGAGGGAAGCGGCAUCUCUGAGCGCCUUCCACAGAAGCCUUUGCACCGAGGCGGUGGGCCCCACCUGGAGGAGACCUGGAUGGCGUCCCCAGAGACAGACAGUGGCUUUGUGGGCUCAGAAACAAGCAGAGUUUCACCCCUCACCCAGACUCCAGAGCACCGGCUCUCCCACAUCAGCACAGCAGGAACAUUAGCCCAGCCCUUUGCUGCAUCUGUGCCCAGGGAUGGAGCUUCCUACCCCAAGGCCAGGGGUUCUCUGAUUCCCAGAAGAGCCACAGAGCCCAGCACACCCCGGAGCCAAGCACAGAGGUACCUCUCCAGCCCAAGUGGGCCUCUCCGGCAGAGGGCACCCAACUUCAGCCUGGAGCGGACACUGGCAGCCGAGAUGGCGGUUCCUGGCUCAGAGUUUGAGGGGCACAAACGGAUUUCUGAACAGCCCCUUCCCAACAAGACAAUCAGCCCACCCCCAGCCCCCGCCCCUGCCGCUGCGCCUCUACCCUGUGGACCAACAGAGACCAUCCCCAGCUUCCUGCUCACCAGGGCAGGGCGAGACCAGGCCAUCUGUGAGCUGCAAGAAGAGGUGUCCCGGCUUCGUCUGCGGCUGGAAGACAGCCUGCACCAGCCACUCCAGGGCAGCCCGACACGCCCAGCAUCUGCCUUUGACCGCCCCGCCCGGACCCGCGGCCGGCCAGCAGACUCCCCAGCCACCUGGGGCUCCCAUUAUGGCAGUAAAUCCACAGAGAGAUUGCCUGGUGAGCCUAGAGGUGAAGAGCAGAUUGUCCCUCCAGGAAGGCAGCGAGCCAGGUCUUCCUCAGUGCCUCGGGAGGUGCUCCGACUGUCCCUGAGUUCAGAAUCUGAGCUGCCCUCCCUACCACUGUUCUCUGAGAAGAGCAAGACCACCAAGGACAGUCCACAGGCAGCUCGGGAUGGAAAGAGAGGGGUGGGCAGUGCUGGAUGGCCAGACAGGGUCACCUUCCGGGGCCAAUACACAGGCCACGAAUACCAUGUUCUGUCCCCUAAGGCGGUCCCAAAAGGCAAUGGCACAGUCUCCUGUCCCCACUGCCGGCCCAUUAGGACCCAGGAUGCGGGUGGUGCUGUCACAGGGGACCCACUGGGACCGCCUCCCGCUGAUACCCUUCAGUGUCCCCUGUGUGGUCAAGUUGGGUCUCCCCCAGAGGCAGAUGGUCCAGGCUCAGCCACCUCUGGGGCAGAGAAGGCCACCACGAGGAGAAAAGCAUCUUCAACUCCCAGCCCCAAGCAGAGGAGCAAGCAGGCGGGGUCGUCGCCACGCCCACCCCCCGGACUGUGGUAUCUGGCAACAGCGCCCCCAGCACCAGCCCCUCCAGCCUUUGCCUACAUCUCCUCGGUUCCCAUCAUGCCUUAUCCACCUGCCGCUGUGUACUAUGCGCCUGCAGGACCUACCUCAGCCCAACCAGCUGCCAAGUGGCCGCCCACAGCCUCUCCCCCACCAGCCCGGAGACACCGGCACUCCAUCCAGCUCGACCUGGGCGACCUAGAGGAGCUCAACAAGGCCCUGAGCCGGGCCGUGCAGGCUGCCGAGAGCGUCCGCUCUACCACCAGGCAGAUGAGAAGCUCGCUGUCAGCCGACCUGCGCCAGGCUCACAGCCUGCGGGGCUCCUGCCUCUUCUGACUUCACUGGGGGCCCAGAGGCAGAUGGGUGGGUGGGUGGGCAGGUGGCCUGCCAGGCCAGGAGUGGGCUGGAGCUGCUGAGGCCCAGAAGGCCCGCAUAGUUCCUCACCAGGAGGGUCUCCCUCCAGCACAGGUCCCGCCUGCUCAGUCCCUGUGCUUUCCAAGUGGAGGGGGUGUCAGCUCGGUCACCAAGAGAAGUGACUUCCCAGGAGCACCAGUCCCCUCACAGAGGUGCUGUGAGCGAGGCCUCCUUCGGUCCAGGCAGAACCUCAGGCAGUCUCUCCUGGUCCUGCAUGUGUGCAACUCCAGCUAAUAAUAGCGGAUCCUCCUGAGUAUGGUUGAAAAUGGUGUCUCACUGAAAGUAACACUGAAAUGGACAAACUUCCUGUAGGUUCUGAGCCUUCAGUUCCAGGACAUUGUGGGACCCCAGAGGCUGUCCUGUCCACUUGCCUUCUGAGGACAUCAGCUCGGUGUCCCCAGCCUCCGUGCUGUGGGCACAGCUGUGGUUUGGGUGCUGAGCAAAGGAUGCUGUAGUCUUGGCCCUGUGGAGCUUGGCUGUUGGGACAGGAGGUACAAAGGGGAGUGGUGCCUGUGGACACAGGACUAGACCCCAGGACAUCAGGGCCUCGGGCUCAUGGUCCUAUCACCCUGGAUGGUAUACGCAGCUGCACACGUGGAAUUGCUCAAACAAUUCAGGCCCAACUUUUCUGCCACGGAAGGGGUGCUGCUUCCCUCACGUAACAAGAGGCUGUCAAUCACGAGCACCCAGGUUGGGGUGAGGCCGGCCCUUUGUGGCUUGUGCCACUGAGUGGGCUGUGCCUCGGGCUUGGCUCCACCUCAGGGCUCCACAUUUGCAGGAUGUCAGCUGAUUUCCAGGGACCAGCCUCACCCUUACGUGUUAUCUCCUUCUUCUGGGUCUCCCAGGUGAGCACCCUAAGAACACAUCCAUGGAGACACCCAGCCCCUCUGGCCUGGGCCCCAAGCCCUCUGCAUCACCCCAGCCCUUCCCUGCCCUGCCCUGUCCUGGCCCAGGCAACCGCCUCUUGCCUAGUUGCCCACAGCAGCCUUCACUCAGGCCUUCCUGCCUCCAGCCUGGUCCCCACAACGUGCCUCCCCCGAUGGCCAUGGUAAUACUGGAAUAAGGUCCUUGUGAUAGGCACCACAUGCCUGAACUCUCCCCACCCCAUCCACCUUGUAUUUGUCUGUUCUCACAUUGCUAUAAAGAACUACCUGAGACUGGGUAGUUUAUGAAAAAAAGAGGUUUAAUUGACUCACAGUUCCGCAGGCUUCAGAGGAAGCAUGGCUGGGAGGCCUCAGGAAACUUACAAUCAUGGUGGAAGGCAAAGAGGAAGCAAGUCCCUUCUUCACAAGACAGCAGGAGAGACAGAGCGAAGGGGGAGGUGCUACACACUUUUAAACAAUGAGACCUUGUGAGAAACAGCACCUGGGAGGUGGGGCUAAACCAUUAGAAACCAGCCCCGUGAUACAAUCACCUCCCAGCAGGACCCGCCUCCAACACAUGGGGCUGAAAAUUCCAUGUGAGAUUCGGGUGGGGACACAGAGCCAAACAAUAUCACACCUCCACUCCUGUUUAGGGUCUUCUGCCUCAAGGUUACUCAAAUGCAUCCUCUCAUUUCCUUGCUUGCAGCAGAAACAGAAAAGGAUUUUUUUUUAUGACUAGUUGAAGUUUUAUUACAAUCUUGCUAUUAGGAGAAAGGCCUUACAGUAGUCUCAGUUUAGAAAUUCACAUUUGUUUGCUUGUAUUGUUUUAAAUGGACACAUAAUGUACAUAUUUAUGGGGAACUGUGUGAUAAUGUUCCCAACACAAAGAAAUGGUAAAUGUUUGAGGUGGUGGAAAUGACCCCGAUUUGAUCAUCACACAUUGUACACAGAACAGCAGGUUGUAUUAUGCUCCUCAUCUUUCUAGAUUGGUUCAGAUGCCCCUUCUAGGAAGCCUUCCCAGAUUUUCGCCCUGCAGAAGAAAAUGUCUUCCCACAGUGCUGGGCUCCCACAGCACUCGGUGCCUGUCAUCCUCCAUCCUGGCACGUGUGGGGCUCUUCCCACCAGGGACAGCGUCUUAUCCAGUGCCCAGCCAGGGUUAAACUCAGGGCAGGCUUCAGAAUGAAUGAAUGAACAAAUGACUAACAGCUUAGCUGUUCCAAACACAGAAGCUUUAUUGAUGCAAGUGAGGGAAAAAGCUGAGGUACACAUGUCGGGUUGGAGGGGCAGGAUGGCCCCCAAGUCUCUGUCCUGAUCCAAGGCUGUGUCCUGCUAGGAUUCCCCCUCCUCCUGUUUCCUCUCCUUCUCGUGCUGCUUCUCCAGUGGCUCACACUUAUCCUAGAAGGCAGCGGGGAAUUGGGGUGAGGGAGAAGCAGAGGCAUGGGGACAGGGUGGGAGGUCUUCCGGGGAGAGGGCAGAAUGAGCUCUGGCCUGUGGAACCAGCUCAACCAGGGCUCCAACCCUGGCACUGUCACUUCCCAGCUGGGUGAUCUUGGGCAAGUCAUUUUCUGUCUCUGAACCUCAGCUUACUUGCCUCUACAAUGGGAGCUCAGACCCUUAAGAACCACUGGCAUUUACUGAGCACAUAGUACCUGCAGGGCCCUUAUGCUGCAGCUCCUGAAUUCCUCACAACCACCACUACUAUGCAGAUGAUGUAACUGAGGAGCAGGGUGGCCUUGGGACCCAUUCGAGGCUCCCUAGCCAGACAGUGGAGGUGCCAGGCUGUGGAUCAAGUGAGCUGACUACAGUGGUUGCGUUCAUAAGCCCUGUCCCAGGAUCCUGGGGCUGGGGAUGGGGCAGGAGGUAGUUCACAUCCCUGGUGGUCAUCUCAGGUGGCAAAUGGAAGGAAUUGUUUUUCUUUGAAUAGUCAUGGAAGUACUGCAUGUAUAUAUUUUAAAAAUUGGAACCAGCUCAUCGGUGCUGUGAUUUCACAGGUAUUAGGGCACAGGGCCACACCAACACAAGUCUUCCAAACACAGGUUUAAAGAAAAGUGUUAAGGAGCUCAUUAUACAGUAAUUUUCAUUUGUAGCAAAAAUCGGGAUGGUGACUGUGGCCGUGCUGCAGUGUGGGUGACAUUGAAAACCACAGUAUCAAUUCCCCACUGCACGGGUAUUAAAAAUGAGCGGGGAGUGGAGGUGGGGUGAAAGCCUGGGGUUUGGGACGCGUCUGUAGGUGGUAACUCCCCGCAUUACGUCCCCUCCAAUUGCCAAUCCCCCAACCCCGUGGCUCACGCUGUUCCCUCCUGUUAGCUUUCAGGUCCUCCCUGGUUUCACAGGGACUUCUCCCUCCUGGGCUCUCAUCCACCACCCCUGGGCCUCUGUAGAGCUCAGCUGUCCCUACAGUGAGGCAGGUGCCUAAAAGCAGAAGAUCUGCCUAGCUGUGCAGCCUUGCCUGGCAGCUUUCCUGCUCUGGGCCUCUGGGGCUGCCCAAGUUGGGCCAUGGACAAGGUGGGCACUGUCCAAUCCCUUGCGUUUACCUUUUUCCAGUCGGUGUACAUGACAUCUGACCUGGGAAUGCACAAGCAGUCGAGAGCUUCGUAGAACUCUCCCAGUUGCUCCUUGGUCGUCUCUGGCUUGUCAGCUGCAGGGGGAGCAAGGAGACUGACUGGGGACAUGGUGGGGCCCGGCGGGAGGCCAGGGAGGGCUGGGGUUCUAGGGGCCAGCCCAGGGGUGGGUGAAUGGGGGGUGAGGCCUGAGAGGGGCAUGAGUUUGGGGCUGCUAAGCAUGCCUACCAUAGAAAGACAGCCCCCAGUUCUUCUCAUCGUCCAGGUAGGAACCAAACAUCAAGGUCUUGGUGUCCCUAAGGAACAGCAGGUGAGCAACAUGUUCUCGGCCUCCCUCUGGAAGAGAAAAAGAGCCUCUGGGUGAGAACAUGGGAUGGCACAAUGGUGCCUGUCUUACAGGUGAGGAGUCCUAGGUGUGUCCGGGGCCACAAAGCCCAUCAGUGAAGGCCCGGGUCUCCUUUGGGCCACCGUGUGCCCAGCCCCUGCUGCGUGCCCAGCUCCACGCCAAGCACUUUCUGUACAUGAGAUCUCAGGAGCCUCACACAGACUGUGGCUGUCAGGGCCUUUCUCCCCGUUUUACAGAGGAGGAAAAUGAGGCCCAGAGAGGAGGCUCGGGAUGCUAAAUGAUGUCAGUUCAGCUCCAUCAGAUCCCUGCCAUGUGCCACCUCUGCGGUGAUGGGGGACAUAGUUGAAGGUACCACCUCUCCAACAUACAGGCUUCUACCAUUGGUUUGCAAAGGAUCUUAAAGAGGGCGUGAGAGAGAGGCAGAUCUGAAGCCAGCCUGGAGUUCCAAUUCUAGUUCUAAUUAUAAGCUGUGUGACCUUGGGGAAACUAUUUGAGGUCUCUGUUCUUAUGUUUCCUCAUCUAAUUCUCUCAGUGUCUUCUUAGGGAUUUUUUCUGAGCACGUGGUAAGAGCUCAAAAAUGUUAGUGGUUAUUUCUCUGUGCCCAAAGCCUCCAGGGCUCUACAUCCAGCCCCCACCUUAUGCUGGCCUGCCCUGUUCCCACGGUGAACCCUCCUGCCUGAGGGCUGGCCCUCACCGUAUCUGGAGACGGUCCCAUUCUCCCGCUGGACAUUCAGGUAACUGGAGUUAUAGAAGCACUGGUUCUGGCUAAAGUCAACCAGAAGGCGGAAGAAAAACAGUAAUGUUAUCGAGGAGAAGUGGCCAAUCGCCCAUCACAGUCCCGGGGCAAGAGUCUGGUGGAGAUUAAAGCCAACCCUCCCGGUUCCACCCAUGGGAAGGCCAAGGCCAGGAAGAAGGAGGGACUUGCUCAGGUCUUCUGGCCAGAAGCUGAGAUGGGGGUGCAUUGGAAUGGGGGCUCUCACCGGGUCUGGUACUCUCUGAGAAAGAUCGUGUCCUCUGUCUUGUUGGGGGUAAAGUAAAAGAAGGUUGCUUGGA